rnacentral:tRNA from 1 species
UCUAAUGUGGCAGAAAAAAAAAUGCAAUGAAUUUAAGACUCAAUCAUAAAUAAUUUAUAUUUCUUUAGAA